UACGAAGGGGGCUAGCGUUGCUCGGAAUCACUGGGCGUAAAGCGCACGUAGGCGGACUCUUAAGUCGGGGGGUGAAAUCCUGGAGCUCAACUCCAGAACUGCCUUCGAUACUGAGAGCCUUGAGUUCGGGAGGAGGUGAGUGGAACUGCGAGUGUAGAGGUGAAAUUCGUAGAUAUUCGCAAGAACACCAGUGGCGAAGGCGGCUCACUGGCCCGAUACUGACGCUGAGGUGCGAAAGCGUGGGGAGCAAACAGG
rnacentral:rRNA from 1 species